AGGCAAUAUACAAGCAAGUUUCAAGCAUAUAUACACAGAACUAUCAUCUUGGUAAGAUGGUUAAAUGUUUUGAUUUUUUUCUUUCACUGAACUUUGGCAAAAUGACAAAGCUUCUCGUUUGGAGGACUGAUAAGCCUCAAGAUGAUAUGCCUCAGACACCAAACUCACAAGUUACAAUUGUAUCACGAGACCAUCCACGUGGGGGCAAUUAUUAGUUGUAAGUUGUAACAUGCUGAUGCAGCAUAUCAGUUACUGUAUGUCUCUUCAGAUGUGAUGAGAUAUAUGGUUACUUAAUGUUUAGUUUCUCUGUGUCCCGGUUAAGUUUUCGUUUCUAUAGAAGAUAGAAGCUUUAGUUGGUUAAUUAUUGAAGUGAAGUUGUAUCCUCAAAAUGCUUUCUCUUUCACUUAGGGUGUAUAUAUGAAAGUUGUAAUUAAACUCUUGUAACAGUAUGCAAUGGUCAAUUAAUACGUAGUUUUAAUUAGUUGAGGCAUUGCAAGUUGCAACUCAAACAAAUUAAGGAUAUAUAUUCAGAAUUGUGAUUAGGAAUUAA